rnacentral:rRNA from 1 species
CAGUCGCCGCGGGAACACGGAGGGUGCAAGCGUUAAUCGGAAUUACUGGGCGUAAAGCGCACGCAGGCGGUUUGUUAAGUCAGAUGUGAAAUCCCCGAGCUUAACUUGGGAACUGCAUUUGAAACUGGCAAGCUAGAGUCUUGUAGAGGGGGGUAGAAUUCCAGGUGUAGCGGUGAAAUGCGUAGAGAUCUGGAGGAAUACCGGUGGCGAAGGCGGCCCCCUGGACAAAGACUGACGCUCAGGUGCGAAAGCGUGGGGAGCAACCAGGAUUAGAUACCCGCGUAGUCCCUGUCUCUUAUAC